rnacentral:rRNA from 1 species
GCUUAACCCUGAGCGUGCUUUCGAUACGGGUUGACUUGAGGAAGGUAGGGGAGAAUGGAAUUCCUGGUGGAGCGGUGGAAUGCGCAGAUAUCAGGAGGAACACCAGUGGCGAAGGCGGUUCUCUGGGCCUUUCCUGACGCUGAGGAGCGAAAGCGUGGGGAGCGAACAGGCUUAGAUACCCUGGUAGUCCACGCUGUAAACGGUGGGUACUAGGUGUGGGGUCCAUUCCACGGGUUCCGUGCCGUAGCUAACGCUUUAAGUACCCCGCCUGGGGAGUACGGCCGCAAGGCUAAAACUCAAAGGAAUUGACGGGGCCCCGCACAAGCGGCGGAGCAUGCGGAUUAAUUCGAUGCAACGCGUAGAACCUUACCUGGGUUUGACAUGGAUCGGGAGUGCUCAGAGAUGGGGUGUGCCUCUUUUUGGGGGUCGGUUUCACAGGUGGUGCAUGGCUGUCGUCAGCUCGUGUCGUGAGAUGUUGGGUUAAGUCCCCGNAACGAGCGCAACCCUUGUUCACUGUUGCCAGCACGUUUAUGGUGGGGACUCAGUGGAGACCGUCCCGGGGG